rnacentral:misc_RNA from 1 species
AAGUCGUAACAAGGUCUCCGUAGGUGAACCUGCGGAGGGAUCAUCACAGAAUUAUUUACACAGAAAAGAUUGGAAGGGGGGGUGUUGGAGUGAGUGAGGGAUUCGUCUCUUGCUCUCUCUCUCUCUCUCUCUUCUUCUAGUCUUUUCUGAACAAACAAACAUACAUGACUAGGAAAGAAAAGUGAAUUUACAAACAAGAAGUUCUUGGCUGAUAAGUAGCAUUGAUUUGGAAUGUGAAUCUAUAAUCAAUACAACUUUCAACAACGGAUCUCUUGGCUCUCA